rnacentral:rRNA from 1 species
AACGAACGCUGGCGGCAGGCCUAACACAUGCAAGUCGAGCGCACCCUUCGGGGCGAGCGGCGGACGGGUUAGUAACGCGUGGGAACGUACCCUUUUCUAUGGAAUAGCCUCGGGAAACUGAGAGUAAUACCAUAUAAGCCCUUCGGGGGAAGGAUUUAUCGGGAAAGGAUCGGCCCGCGUUAGAUUAGAUAGUUGGUGGGGUAAUGGCCUACCAAGUCUACGAUCUAUAGCUGGUUUUAGAGGAUGAUCAGCAACACUGGGACUGAGACACGGCCCAGACUCCUACGGGAGGCAGCAGUGGGGAAUCUUAGACAAUGGGCGCAAGCCUGAUCUAGCCAUGCCGCGUGUGUGAUGAAGGUCUUAGGAUCGUAAAGCACUUUCGCCAGGGAUGAUAAUGACAGUACCUGGUAAAGAAACCCGGCUAACUCCGUGCCAGCAGCCGCCGGUAAAGUCACAUGUG